GGUAGUUGGAAUUAAGCUAAAAUAUUUAUAAACUGCCAGUCUGUCAUAUAGAUGGCAAAAAGUCACUUCCAAAUUCCACUUUGGUGGAGAUUUGUCAGAGAUUUCAGGGCUUUGUAACUUCUAAUUCUAGUUCUACUGGGGUAGAGCAUGUUAGAUUUUUGUAAAUUCUAUUUUUAAUGUUGCUAAUAUUUUUCCAUUGAUAUAACUAUGGCUUCUAAGAGCUACAUCUGCUCCACUCUAUAGAGGAAGGUUCAUUGCAUCACCACUAGCCCAGCUUAGGCUCUGUUCAUCCAGUGUUUGGCUUACUACUCCCUGGAUGGUUUUUCUGGUCCUAGUUCGUCUACCAUAUAAUCUGUCUUUCUCAGUACUGAUUCUUCUCAAAUAAAAUAUUUACCAUGCUAUCCUUU
rnacentral:lncRNA from 1 species